GACGAACGCUGGCGGCGUGCCUAAUACAUGCAAGUUGAGCGCUGAAGGUUGGUACUUGUACCAACUGGAUGAGCAGCGAACGGGUGAGUAACGCGUGGGGAAUCUGCCUUUGAGCGGGGGACAACAUUUGGAAACGAAUGCUAAUACCGCAUAAAAACUUUAAACACAAGUUUUAAGUUUGAAAGAUGCAAUUGCAUCACUCAAAGAUGAUCCCGCGUUGUAUUAGCUAGUUGGUGAGGUAAAGGCUCACCAAGGCGAUGAUACAUAGCCGACCUGAGAGGGUGAUCGGCCACAUUGGGACUGAGACACGGCCCAAACUCCUACGGGAGGCAGCAGUAGGGAAUCUUCGGCAAUGGACGAAAGUCUGACAGAGCAACGCCGCGUGAGUGAAGAAGGUUUUCGGAUCGUAAAACUCUGUUGGUAGAGAAGAACGUUGGUGAGAGUGGAAAGCUCAUCAAGUGACGGUAACUACCCAGAAAGGGACGGCUAACUAUGUG
rnacentral:rRNA from 1 species